UACGUAGGUGGCAAGCGUUAUCCGGAUUUACUGGGCGUAAAGUGUGCGCAGGCGGCCGAGCAAGUCGAGUGUGAAAGCCCCGAGCUUAACUUGGGAACUGCGCUCGAAACUACUUGGCUAGAGUGUGGCAGAGGGAGGUGGAAUUCCACGUGUAGCGGUGAAAUGCGUAGAGAUGUGGAGGAACACCGAUGGCGAAGGCAGCCUCCUGGGCCAACACUGACGCUCAUGCACGAAAGCGUGGGGAGCAAACAGG
rnacentral:rRNA from 1 species